rnacentral:rRNA from 1 species
GACGAACGCUGGCGGCGUGCUUAACACAUGCAAGUCGAACGGAAAGGCCCUGCUUUUGUGGGGUGCUCGAGUGGCGAACGGGUGAGUAACACGUGAGUAACCUGCCCUUGACUUUGGGAUAACUUCAGGAAACUGGGGCUAAUACCGGAUAGGAGCUCCUGCUGCGUGGUGGGGGUUGGAAAGUUUCGGCGGUUGGGGAUGGACUCGCGGCUUAUCAGCUUGUUGGUGGGGUAGUGGCUUACCAAGGCGUUGACGGGUAGCCGGCCUGGGAGGGUGACCGGCCACAUUGGGACUGAGAUACGGCCCAGACUCCUACGGGAGGCAGCAGUGGGGAAUAUUGCACAAUGGGCGGAAGCCUGAUGCAGCAACGCCGCGUGCGGGAUGACGGCCUUCGGGUUGUAAAACGCUUUCGCCUGUGACGAAGCGUGAGUGACGGUAAUGGGUAAAGAAGCACCGGCUAACUACGUG